CUGGCAUCACAGGCAGUGGCUUAACCCACUGCUCCACAACGCCAGCCCAGAAGAAUGAUUUUUCUAAGCACCUCUGGUCCAGCCUCCAUUGUAUCCAAGGAUAUAUGCUCUGGUUGGGAACCAGGAGUCCCACUUCCACUGCAACAAGUCAGCAAGUCAAAAUACUGGCAGAGCUGCACAUGGGCCCUGGUGACCGAUGUGGCCUCGUCGGCUUCAUCAUCAGCCAUCCUAGAUAGAGAGCCGCGAGAAGCAGGAGGACAGGCGCCUGACCACUGUGGCUUACCUGGCAAGCCAAGGUCUCUCUUUUUCUGAUCUUCAGCAGAACAAAGCCUAGCAGAAGGAGGCUCUCUAACAUCGCUGCUGGUUAGGCCUUGGAGCAGUCACAGCUUCCACGUGUGACUUCAACAGUGUGUCAGGCUCUGGACUAAGUAUCUGAUGUGUAUCAACUUAAGCAUCACAGAACCCCAUUUGGUGGGUAUUAAUAUUAUCCCAUUCUUAGAGAGCUUCAUGCCUCAUGGACACAAGCAAAUAAAAAGCAAAACUUGGGUUCA
rnacentral:lncRNA from 1 species